GACGAACGCUGGCGGCGUGCUUAACACAUGCAAGUCGAGCGGUAAGGCCCUUUCGGGGGUACACGAGCGGCGAACGGGUGAGUAACACGUGGGUGACCUGCCCUUAGCUCUGGGAUAAGGCCUGGGAAACUGGGUCUAAUACCGGAUAUGACUCCAUAACGCAUGUUGUGGGGUGGAAAGCCUUGUGCGGCUAGGGAUGGGCCCGCGGCCUAUCAGCUUGUUGGUGGGGUGAUGGCCACCAAGGCGACGACGGGUAGCCGGCCUGAGAGGGCGACCGGCCACACUGGGACUGAGACACGGCCCAGACUCCUACGGGAGGCAGCAGUGGGGAAUCUUGCGCAAUGGGCGAAAGCCUGACGCAGCGACGCCGCGUGGGGAUGAC
rnacentral:rRNA from 1 species